UGCGGUGCUGAGAAUGGAAUCCAGAGCCUCACACAUGCUGGGCAAGCAUUUUACCACUGAACAACAACCCCAGCCCGCAACUCAGACUUUUUGUUGUUGCUGCGGCUUGAACCCAGGGCCUCAGGCAUGUAGGCACAAACUUUAUCUCUCAGCUAGCUCUCAGCCCUUUCUAAUGAUUUUUCUUUUCUUUGGUGCCUGGAAUUGAACUCAGGGGCACUCGACCAACUGAUCUACAUCCCCAAUCCUAUUUUGUAUUUUAUUCAGAGACAGGGUCUCACUGAGUUUCUUAGCAUCUCCAUUGCGGAGGCUGGCUUUGAACUCACAUCCUUCUGUCUCAGCCUCCAGGCCUCUGGGGUUACAGGUGUGCCCGGCUAAUGUUGCAUUUUAAAGGAAAUUUCAUAUCCCCUCAUCCUCCCCACCCCCCGGGCAUUAGAUCAGAUUUACUUGUGAACAUACAUAUAAUGACUUGGGAUUGAAUAGGCCAGAAGGUUCAAGACAAGUAAUAUUCCAUGGUGGUUUGGCAAAUGAAAAACAGGAAGUAUUGGGUGGGGUCAUUUUUAUCUUUCCAAUCAAGAAAGAACUGAUAGAGCUAAUUGGCACAUACCUGUGAUUCCAGCAAUUUGGGAAGUGGAAGUAGGAGGACCCAAAUUUGAGACCACCCUGGGUGACUUAGCAGAGACUCUUUCAACAUUUCAAAAAAGGGGCUGGAAAUGGUAACUCAGUGGUAAAGUGCCCCUCAGUUCAAUUCCCAGUAACUAGCAUACACAUAAACCUGAUAACUAUUAAAAAUCAGCUCUGUGGGGGCUAGGGUUGUGGCUCAGUGGUAGAACGCUUGCCUUACACAAGUGAGGUACUAGGUUUGAUCCUUAGCACCACAUAAAAAUAAAUAAAGGUAUUGUGUUCAUUUACAACUAAAAAAAUAAUUUUUUUUUAAAUCAGCUCUGCUAUUCACACACUCCACCCCAAGGAUCAUUUUCUUUUUAUUUAUUUAUUUAUUUUUGUGGUGCUGGGGAUUGAACCCAGGGCCUUGUGUAUGCAAGAGAAGCACUCUACCAUCUGAGCUAUAUCCCCAGCCCAAGGAUCAUUUUCUUUUUUUUAAUAUUUAUUUUUUAGAUGUAGAUGGACACAACACAAUGCCUUUUAUGUGGUGCUGAGGAUCGAACCGGAAUCCAGGUCCCACCCGUGCUAGGCAAGCACUCUACCGCUGAGCCACAAUCCCAGCCCCCAAGGAUCAUUUUCUAUUAUGAUCAUUUUUGUGUUUUCUCAGGUCUAAAUCUGAGAGCUAAAGCAAUGUCAUGCACCUCCCUAUUUUCAUAUUGCCUUCCAUAAAGGGGCUCAAAUAAAUUUAUUGUACCUUCUGGUCAGCUACAAAAGCUGCAUUUCCUCUUCAACCUCUAGCAUUGUGGUCCUUGGAGCUCCUGGCCAGUGUUUCCAUAGCAUUGGGCAAAAGUGAAGGGCUAUGAAGUCCAUGGCAUUUGCUCCUGAUUAAGAAGCAACAGGAAACUAAAAUGUUUCAUUAAAGAAUGUUAUGAAUUUUGCAAACAGUUUUUGAUUUCACCAGCAAUACACUGGAGUUUUUGGCUG
rnacentral:lncRNA from 1 species